rnacentral:rRNA from 1 species
UGCGUAGGCGGCCUGGUAAGUCAGAGGUGAAAUGCACGAGCUUAACUGGUGAAUUGCCUUUGAAACUAUCAAGCUAGAAUUAUGUUGAGGUCAGCGGAAUGAGUCAUGUAGCGGUGAAAUGCAUAGAUAUGACUUAGAACACCAAUUGCGUAGGCAGCUGGCUGGGCAUACAUUGACGCUGAGGCACGAAAGCGUGGGGAGCGAACAGGAUUAGAUACCCUGGUAGACC